AUUGUGUUCACACGUGCUGGUAAUACUGGCUGGCCCUGAAGCUUCAUUUUGAUGGAUGAAGACAACUGUGACAACUAGUGACAACCCACAGGUAGAGACUUCUGCAGCCCUACAAGAUCACACACUCCCACUUUAUUCCAGGAAGCAUGCAAACAACAAAAAAGAAUCCUGAACCAAACAAGCAUGGUGGUGGUGAAGGAGGAAGCAAGCAGCAUGCAUCCUCCAUGACGACAUCACGCUACUACCUUUAGUUGCUUCAUCUUGGGGGCACGACGCUUCAUCUGCCGCCGCUGCUCCCUUUCUUCCCACUUCCUCUGCUUGUCUGGAUCAUCAAUCUGUAAAGCAGUGGCAACAUUCAGCAUGGAAGAGAGAGGAAACAUAGUAUACAAUUUAUCACAGGAGCAGGGUCAAUAGUUUCAAUGAUAAGUUCAAAAUCACUCGAUACUAUGUGAAAGUUUAUCCAACAUUUAGUAGCUUAAGACCAGUUUAACUUUUCUUCCUGAUCAAAAAUAUAUUGCUAUCCUUCAUCAAAUAGUGUAGCCAAGCUUUUCUUUUAAUAUAAAUCUCCACUUUUUUUUGCCUGCUAAUAAAUUUAGGUUCUUGUGUGAAACUGAGCCUUAGAUUAAAUACAAUAAACCUUCCACAUCAUGUUUGCCUACAGGAAUGCAUUAUAAUCCAGGCAUAAGGAGGGUCUUGAGCAACAUAGCUACUUUCUUUUCAAAUUCUCUGGGCACUUAAAGGAGGGGGUGUGAAGUGAAUUCAUAGGGUGAGCAAGUAUUGGAGUGAUAAUUGGAAGUAGCAGGACUGAAUGUGCUGAGAGGGAGUGCCCGAACAAGUAGAGUCACUUCUGCUGCGGCCACCCCCUGAGGGGAAGUUCCCAUGAGGGAGCAGAGCAUAGGAGAUAUAUAUAGAUACUUAAAUGUAUCCCACUAAUGAAAGUUACUGAUAAUAGCAUGUUCCUUUCUGUAAAAGCUAAUGGUGUAAAAAACUAUUAAUAAAAUCUAAGUACUUGA